AUUGAACGCUGGCGGCAUGCCUUACACAUGCAAGUCGAACGGCAGCACGGGUGCUUGCCCCUGGUGGCGAGUGGCGAACGGGUGAGUAAUACAUCGGAACAUGUCCUGUAGUGGGGGAUAGCCCGGCAAAAGCCGGAUUAAUACCGCAUACGAUCUACGGAUGAAAGCGGGGGACCUUCGGGCCUCGCGCUAUAGGGUUGGCCGAUGGCUGAUUAGCUAGUUGGUGGGGUAAAGGCCUACCAAGGCGACGAUCAGUAGCUGGUCUGAGAGGACGACCAGCCACACUGGGACUGAGACACGGCCCAGACUCCUACGGGAGGCAGCAGUGGGGAAUUUUGGACAAUGGGCGAAAGCCUGAUCCAGCAAUGCCGCGUGUGUGAAGAAGGCCUUCGGGUUGUAAAGCACUUUUGUCCGGAAAGAAAUCCUUGGCCCUAAUACGGUCGGGGGAUGACGGUACCGGAAGAAUAAGCACCGGCUAACUACGUG
rnacentral:rRNA from 1 species